GAUGAACGCUGGCGGCGUGCCUAAUACAUGCAAGUCGAGCGAACUUUUGGGAGCUUGCUCCCAAAAGUUAGCGGCGGACGGGUGAGUAACACGUGGGUAACCUGCCUGUAAGACUGGGAUAACUUCGGGAAACCGGAGCUAAUACCGGAUAACAUUGAAGACCACAUGGCCUUCCAUUAAAAGGUGGCUUUUAGCUACCACUUACAGAUGGACCCGCGGCGCAUUAGCUAGUUGGUGAGGUAACGGCUCACCAAGGCGACGAUGCGUAGCCGACCUGAGAGGGUGAUCGGCCACACUGGGACUGAGACACGGCCCAGACUCCUACGGGAGGCAGCAGUAGGGAAUCUUCCGCAAUGGACGAAAGUCUGACGGAGCAACGCCGCGUGAGCGAAGAAGGCCUUCGGGUCGUAAAGCUCUGUUGUUAGGGAAGAACAAGUAUCGUUCGAAUAGGGCGGUACCUUGACGGUACCUAACCAGAAAGCCACGGCUAACUACGUG
rnacentral:rRNA from 1 species